GAGUGGCAAACGAAGAAGAUCAAGGAUGAAACUGCAGGCCUGCAGGACAUCUAUGAAAAGAUAGAAGAGGUGAUACUCGCUGCCCAGAGUCUUCCGGAAGUGACCUUGACAAUUAAAAGGCUUUCUGAGCUGGCCAUCAGUGAAAGAGUGACAUACAUCUUGACAGAAGCACAGGCAGAGCACGUGCGAGCUGCUUUCAACUGUGUUGUGUGCAAGGGGCCAGUGAGUGAGCCAGUUAUUUCCGCCUGCUGUAAAACCCUCCUAGGAUGCAAGGUCUGCAUUGACGAGUGGCUUCAAAAUGCAUCGCAGUGUGUGAAGUGCAGAGGAAAACUUCAGAGCCAAUGUGAUUGUUGUCACUGGUCUGUCUGAGGCGUUGUUAUCCUUAAAGGAUAUCAUAAAAGUGGAUUAAGUGCUGCAUCAAUGGAUCUAAGUUUGAGUUAGUGUUAAAUGUUGUGUUUUGUUAUAGUGCUACUUAAAUGUUUACAGUAACACAACCCUGGGAUAGUUACACACAUGCAUAACCUUACUAUGCUUGUCUUUUAGUUAAGUUGAUAAGAUGGAUCACUGCAUCUUUAAAAGGUGAAAGAUUUGCACUGUUGAACAGAUCUGCCAUGUCAGGGUAAGUUUCAGCAAAAAGACUUUCAACCGUAGCUUUCUCUUCUUCUGUUGAAAAGGGGUCUGUUCCAAAUGACGACUCUUGUUAAGGUGCCUCCCAGUUCCUCAGCGUAAAGGUUGGCUGCUUCAGGUGCCUGAGGCAGUAACACCUGCAAGACCUUUUUUGGGCACCCACCCCCUGCAAGUUGAUUGGGUAUAACCAGAGCACCCACGUCCCACCCCAAUGUCUGUAAGGUGCUGUGAAAUGUCAGCAUGAGUCGCAUGCCUUCUCAACAUAUCAGUAAUUAUAUCACUGUAUGCCUCAAGAGAAGCCAUGCUGGUCAUUCAAAUCACCCCCUCAGAUAGUUCAAAUUACCCGCCAGGUAAUAGCCUAGUUUUUCCAGGUCAACAGCAUCACCAGGUGGCCCAUCCUUAGGCCUACGAAUUCAUUUGAAUGACGUUCUCUCAUUGCAUUUCCACUUUUUAUAUGAAUCCAAAUUAAUAUUCAUUUGAUACGUAGAAACAAGAAAGGGUCAAUAUUUAUUUUUUAAAUCCUAAGUUAUAUAAAAAACUAUCUACUUUUCAUUCAAUUAGUGACUACAGAUUUUAGGAAAAUCAAAUACCACUUGUUUUUUGUUUUUCAUUUCACUUCCAAAAAUAGAAUAAUGAAUGAACACAAAAGUACACGGACCCGCUCAGAAUGCAUUUUCGUUUUCGAAUUAUGGGCAGUUCUUUGCGGGCAGAACACGAAAACGAAAAAGCAAUGUCUUUUUGAUUAUGGCAUAAAAUAUGCAGUCUUGAAGAAGAAAAUGCAAAUAGGAUGAUUGAUUACUAAUUUCAUUUGUGAGUCAAAUAAUGCAGCCACAUUCUUAAAAUGCAAAUAGGAUGAUUGAUUACUAAUUUCAUUUAGGCUAUGAGUCAAAUAAUGCAUACACAUUCUUAAAAUGAAAAAGCAUUUCUGCAAAUGCAUUUGAAUUUUGGUCACGAUUUGCUUCCAUAGUUGGAAGGUACUGCUACACAUACCGUUGGUUAAGGGGUUACUGGGAGGGGAAAUAAAUGCAUCGUCAGCAAGCCCCCACCCCUCGGCUUGAAGCAACGGCCCCGGUGGAUGUAGGUGGUAUUGCAUUUCUUGUUAGACUUCCGGCUCUUCCGGUCGUUUUUAUUCUAUUAACUCCAGUCAACAUUUACAAAACUAUCUCCCCCAAUAAUUUGUGUUCCAUUCUCGAACCUGGCUCGUACUACUAGCUUUUUCAUAAAAUAUUUUUUCCUGAUUUUUGCUAAAUUUGAAACCAAUCCGAAAUGGGUAAACUAGCACCCCAUUUAUUUGCUUACGUCAAUAAAAGUUGCCUGCAAAUGUGCUCGCGGAUACUAACAGGGCACGAGCACAAAAGUUCACAUUGGCCGAUAGCCGAUUUACCUGGAGCUGAAUGAGCCAUAAUGAAUGAGCACAGGGAGAAAUGGCUUGAGUUGCCUGCCCUGUUGUAGCAAGUUUAGCAAAUGGUUGUCACACAUACAUUAAAUGUUGUUAAUAUAGUUUAUUCCUGUUAUUUUAAAACAGAUUUGAUUUUUCUGUCAAGAACGUUUUUACGUACAUGACAUGAUGGCAAAUAUUACAUUAUGUUAAGCGUGAGCAUAUUGUUGACAUGUCUAUCUGGAGCAAAGACGAAGAUUAAUACUUUAACUGAUAACCACAAUAAGAAAUGAUAUAAAUACGAUUAGUCUUGCCUUCAGAAGCUUUUGUUAAACACACCCAUUAUUCUUUUUUUUUUUAAAUCUGUCAUCAAGCCAGACUGCUUUUGUGGGACAAUGAAGGUCCUCAGUGACUGUUUGACCCCCACUUAUAUCUGAUGGAAACGUCUUGUAGGCUAUAUAGGCCUAGUUCUGUUAAUAUGCCCCUUUCAAAGGCAAAUGUUAAAUAAAGUAUAUUUU